rnacentral:rRNA from 1 species
GAUGAACGCUGACAGAAUGCUUAACACAUGCAAGUCAACUUGAACUUCGGUUUGGGUGGCGGACGGGUGAGUAACGCGUAAAGAACUUGCCUCACAGCUAGGGACAACAUUUGGAAACGAAUGCUAAUACCUGAUAUUAUGAUUUUAGGGCAUCCUAGGAUUAUGAAAGCUAUAUGCGCUGUGAGAGAGCUUUGCGUCCCAUUAGCUAGUUGGAGAGGUAACGGCUCACCAAGGCGAUGAUGGGUAGCCGGCCUGAGAGGGUGAUCGGCCACAAGGGGACUGAGACACGGCCCUUACUCCUACGGGAGGCAGCAGUGGGGAAUAUUGGACAAUGGACCAAGAGUCUGAUCCAGCAAUUCUGUGUGCACGAUGAAGUUUUUCGGAAUGUAAAGUGCUUUCAGUUGGGAAGAAAAAAAUGACGGACCAACA